AUUCGUACAUUUGCUCUGAUUGGGACAACUCGCUGGGCAUUCCUUCUAUAAUCAAACGAGGGCAUACAUACUUGUACAUAUGUGCGGAUCUGGGAUCUAUUCGGCUGUAGGUUCGAUGUGUCUGUUAAAACUAAAUAAAUAUAGGAAAACUUUCAUCCAACAAUCAAAUCGAAAAUAAAUAAGAGCCAAAACGAGAGAAAAGAAUACUCGUACUCAUACCCGGUGCAGCGAAACUGUAUUUAAAGACCCCUGGGAGGAUGGUGCUGGGGGCCAAGUGAGAAUUGUUGUUUGCAAUCAGGCGAAGACCAGCCAACGAGUGGAGCAGACUGGAGUGGAGUGGCAGUGCCAGCUCGGAGGAGAUGGAGAUGAAGAUGAAGAUGGACAAGAAACUUCUGGGCGAGGGCGACGGUGAGGGUCCUGGCAAAAAGUUUGCCCAGCUCAAAGUGCUUGGAAUGCAACAAUAAAAUUCGAAAUCUGCCAUGAAUUGCAGACAAUCAUGGAACAGGGGACAGAACAGAGCUCACACCCAAGCAGAUUCAAACUGCAUCGCAAUGGAAUGAAGUUAAUAAGUUUCAGCGAGCCAGCAGUCCGGCGACAAACCCUGUGCCAAUGAAAUAAAGGUCUGCAAAAAAGUAUAUAUUAUUUGAGGAAAUGUUGCAGAACAAUUAAAAAGUUGUGGACUUUCAUGAGUCAAUCAAACGACUGAGAACCGCAACGACUUUCUCAAGAGUUGCUCAACUUUGCGGCACUUUAAAUGCCAGACAGACAGACGGCACAACAGGCAUACGCAUACGCAUACGCAUACGAUGCCCCAUGGUGCAGCAUAUGAAGAAGCAAGACGUCUACAGAAGGAGCAGGAAGAUGUUCCUCUGAGGGCAAUCGGAACCAGUCAACCGGAUCAAGAGGCAACUUUGGGGAAAACUUUAAAAACUACAGAGCCACAGAGAGGGCCCUCUGCACUGCCUGGCCUGCCUGUCCUGCCUACGAGUAUUUCUAAACAACUGAGAAAGAAAAUUUCAGCAGUCAGGAUCUGCUGUCAGAAAGUCGGGUCUGUCAGUUAAAGCCCCUGGCAUGUGCUGCACAUUUCGCAUUAAAAAACACCCGAAAUGAGAUGAU